AUAUUCAGUGAUAUAACAUAUCCACCACCAGUGUCGUCGGCCAUGACGAAGCCGAGGCGUCCAUUCGGUAUUCUGUCGUCUUCACAACAAAAGCUGCCACCGAUAUCGCCGCUGCCGCCCAUCUCGAAGCAAGCAACAUUGAUGGAACGUCUGGCAUCACGUUCACUGACUCCAUCACCGGUGGCAAUGAAAAAGAAAGUUUGGUUUUGUGACAGUGAACGACUAUAUUUCCCCAAGAGUUUUCCUAGCAAACCGAUAUUUUAAGCAAAUUCGUUUUUUUUUUGUUUCUUAUCAAUUUUUGUUAUUGAUUUAAUCGCAUUUUGUUGUUACGGUAGGGUGUUGGUUGGUCUUUGGGAGUGGGUUGAGCGUCAUUGCAAUCUCGCAACACCCAACGCCCCAUGAUAAUAGAGGGAUGAUCAAUCAGCCCACCGUCAAAUAUAAGCACACAACAUUUUCAUAUUCACACAUACACACACCCAAACGCUAAAAUACGCAUGCCAAAAAGACCCGAUGGCGCGGGUGGCUUUCAUCUUCUUUCUCUAUUCUGAGACAUUUAGAAAGAGCGAUAGAAUGACGACGUAUCCUGAUUUUCUUAUCAGUUGUCGUUUUAUUUGUGUCUUUAUUUUUGGUUUUUUUUUUAUGACACGAUAACACCUCAACGUUUUUUUGUUAUUCCUAUCACUUUGUUUUUUUUUACAAAUACGAGUAGAAUUUUUCGAAAAUUGUUUUCCAUCAUUUAUUCACAUGUUCGUUGCUAAUAUUGAUCAUAAACUAAUAGAGAUGUAACAAUUUAAUACUUGCAAUCUUAUACGAAGGGUUUUUAAAGGUUGACGAACCUGACUCUACCAUCCACCCUGGCACGAUUUGAGCAAGGAAUAGUUUAGAAACAUUUUCUAAUAUGCUUUGAUCACUUUGAUUAUGUACAGUGACUCCCAGUAAAAAUGGCCCGCCUUGCUUAACUUUCUUUUUAUUCACAAAUUGGAUCGAUUUUAGCAUUGCAUUUAGAAUGCGGUACCCUUAAUUUUUAUUUGAAAAUCUAGGCUUUCUUGUUUUAUGUUGUUUUAAAUUUGGAUAUUGUGAAUGCGUUUUAAUGCCACUGGGCAAUUAUAUAUCGAACGCCAUGCGUUUCGAGUCAUUAUCUUGGUAGAAGUGAAAAUAGUGCUCCUUCUCUCAGCAUUUGGCAUAAAAAAUGUUUAAAAACAAAUGUUAACAUUUCUUUCGAUUAUAUGGCGUUAGCGAAUAAAGUUUGACGUAAGAGUUUGGGUCUAGUUCAAACAUUCGCUCUACUAUCUGAAUCGAACUUAUUGAUCUUAUUCUCCCCAUUAUAAAACGUGAUUUUGAAUUAUACGCCUUUGAUUAUUAUGAUUUCGAAUUAUACGAUUUGAACCCAGUCAUUCAGCAUUAUAGGCGGACAUGCUAACCUCUGCGCUUCAGUGGCCUUCAACCACAAACAAACAAAAUGUUUGUUUUCGCAAAACUAAUCGAACUGUACAAUUACAGAACAGAUUGUUCACAUUUUCUAACCUCAUUACUUAUUUCUUUCUCGGUGAUGCAUAUAUAUUUUUAUGAUAUUUUUCUGUUUCUUUUCGAGAAAGUACUAAUAGGCAUUUGCGUCAAAAACCGUAUUUACAAUAGCCUAUUAAGGGUUUAAAAAGGCUUUGUUCAGAGCAAAUGUUAUUGUAGCCUCUGGCCUUCUUUAACCUAAUAAUAGACUCUUUUAUUGUAAUUUCUACAUACACUCGCAAAAUAAUAAUACUAUCUUAGAAUAUAUUUCGGUUGAAAAAACAAAGAGAUUUUUUACGAAACUUUGGAAAGUGAUCUCUUAACGAUAUGCAGAUAAAAAUAUUUUAUACUAUUGUACUUUCCCAGCAAAAACUCUCAUUACCAAAUAACCAGAGAAGCAAACGCAUUCAAAAACUAAUAACUACAUAUUUUUAGGCAUUUCUUCUGAGCAUACCUUUAGUUCAAAAAUAAGUACUUAUGGCUAAGCAUACAAGUUGUCAAAAAAUAAUGACAUAUUAACUUAGUUGAACGUUGCUAAAAAAUAACUACUAAAGGCGCUAUUACACUGCAUGUAGAAGUCUUAUGAUAUGUCACGUUUUGUAUUCACAUAUACUUGAAAAUGUUUGUCAAUAUUAAUUUUUACUAUCACACAACUGCAUGUUAUAUUCGGAUUUUUUUAACGUAAUAAUUGUUAAAGUUGGGAGAAAGCUGGUUAAAUCAUAAGUUUCUGAAAAUAAUUUAAUUUGGAUUGCUUUAAUUCGACUGACAACAAGAACAGCUGAUUUCUUUAUGUUUUUUGUCAGAAAGAAUUGAGCACGCUCUAUCGAAAAAAAAUUAAAUGUGUGUGAAACUAACAUAUGAAAAGUGAUUUUCAUAUGUUAGUUCCAUUUGUACACAACAUGUACAACUCUACAUGUGCUAAAUUUGACAUGUCAUAAGACGUCUACAUGCCGUGUAAUAAAGCCUUCAAACUCAAACAUGUUCGCCACCACCACGUUCUUAAUGCUCAGUUUCUUUGAAGAAGACAAAUUUUAUAUGAAUAAUUCAAAUUACGCAAUCUGUGCAUUCAUCCACAUUACUAUUGUGUGAAUAAGACACUACUUUCUCCUUUCAAUACUAGCUGAAACUUUAAUUCUAUUUCAUCAAAGAUGGUCAUGCUUUUGUGUUUAUGUUUGACAUAUUCUAUUCAAAGACACAAUAUUCGAAUACAUUGUAGUGAUUUUAGUAGUUUUGCGUCAAAGAGCGUACAUCAGAAGAUUUACAAUACAAAGGUCCCGAGUUCGAAUCUCGGACCAGUAAAAUGAUUUUUAAUUUUUUUAUUCUUUUCAAAUUAAGCCCACAGCAUGCGGAACAGAUCAACGGAUUUGUGGGGAGAUAAUCGACAGAAUUUGGAGCGGACGCGUAUGCUUAUUUUGAAACAUGGCCAUGAAAGUCUCAAAUAGUUUUCUCUCAUUUUCUUUUGUACGGUGUGAAUAAUUUGAUAACAAAUCUAGUGGAAUAAAUUGAAUUGAAUUCAAUGAAAAAAUUAAUUUAAUAAGUUAAAGGAGUUAUAUAAGCCAGUAGAAGCUGUUCUAAAGUAACGCUGGUUAUAAUUUAUAAUCUAUUUGUGCAAAUUUUUUGAUGUAAACUAAAUAAAACAAACCCAACUUCCGACCUUGCACCGGUUUAUUAAAAUAAAGAAUAUUUUUAUGUUAAAUAUUGCAUAGGUGUUAUAUACCAGCUACCUGUGACAAGAGAUAAUGCAUUGCAGCUUUUUUUUUAAUAAUAACUACACAAAUAAGUUUGAUAAUACCUGGAAACGAUUGUGAAAAACCCGACUCAAUAACUAUAUUUUUCGGCACUAGCACUAAAACGGCAUAGGGUUACCAAGGAAAAAAAAAGAAUCGCUCUUUAGUUAUUCAGCUGCUACUGUAGUUUUUUGAAUACGAAAUACUUUAAUGAGUUUAUUGUACAAUAAUCGUUUAAUAACUAUUGUGCUCGUUAAUGAUUCAGUAGUAAAUUUUUGGGAAUACGGGUGUUAAUAUUUAUCUUUGACUCUGAGUAUGACGUCCUAUCUUUCCAAACGUAAUUGUCCAGUUUGCGUAUUUUACAAAC
rnacentral:sRNA from 1 species